AACGAACGCUGGCGGCAUGCCUAACACAUGCAAGUCGAACGAACCCUUCGGGGUGAGUGGCGCACGGGUGCGUAACACGUGGGAACCUGCCCUUAGGUUCGGAAUAACAGUUAGAAAUGACUGCUAAUACCGGAUAAUGUCUUCGGACCAAAGAUUUAUCGCCUUUGGAUGGGCCCGCGUAGGAUUAGCUAGUUGGUGAGGUAAAGGCUCACCAAGGCGACGAUCCUUAGCUGGUCUUAGAGGAUGAUCAUCCACACUGGGACUGAGACACGGCCCAGACUCCUACGGGAGGCAGCAGUGGGGAAUAUUGGACAAUGGGCGAAAGCCUGAUCCAGCAAUGCCGCGUGAGUGAUGAAGGCCUUAGGGUUGUAAAGCUCUUUUACCUGGGAUGAUAAUGACAGUACCAGGAGAAUAAGCCCCGGCUAACUCCGUGCCAGCCGCCGCAGUAACAC
rnacentral:rRNA from 1 species